GAAGAUGAGGACAUGUAGUACACAGCACAGGUAGUAUAUAGCAAAGCCCAAACUCAACAUGUCUGUGUGAUCUUAGCCCUGAGCUAUCAUUUCAAGAGAAGACAUCAAGAACUAAGGCCACAGGCAAGAAACAAAGAAGCUGGGAUUAGCAGCUUGUGACAUCAGAGAACACAGGCAACGUCUCGGAGCUCCACUGCGGCAAUGGAAGGAACUUAGAAGGAGGACAACCAGGCUUUCCCUGCCAUCUGGAGCCUAAAAACUGCCCUAAUCAACUCCUUUGCCCAGCUCGCAACCAGAGGAGAAAUGGAAAUAAUCAGUAAAUGAGAAAUCAGGGUCUAUUUGAGCCCUCUGAGGUAGCUCAGCCUCUUCAUUUCAUGGGUGAGGAAAUUAGUCAGCCAAGUUGGAAGGGGUCCCUGGAGAAACUGCAACGAUCCUGCGCAAUGAGGUGGAGCCUCGGGAAGUUCGUGCCCCGGCCCCGCCUCUUCCUACGUGGAACCUGGGAUUCAAACUGCCGGGUGGGAAGCAUUCUCUCAGACUCACUCGUGGUUCCCGUUUUCCCCUUUCACCCAAUAAAACCCUGCUUUACUCACCCUUUAAG